CAGCACCUCAAGUGGUCAGGAUGAUUAUUGGGCCUAAAGCAUCCGUAGCCGGCGCUGUAUGUUUUCGGUUAAAUCCAUACGCUCAACGUAUGGGCUGCCGGGAAUACUGCAAAGCUAGGGAGUGGGAGAGGUAGACGGUACUCGGUAGGAAGGGGUAAAAUCCUUUGAUCUAUUGAUGACCACCUGUGGCGAAGGCGGUCUACCAGAACACGUCCGACGGUGAGGGAUGAAAGCUGGGGGAGCAAACCGGAUUAGAGACCCGCGUAGUCC
rnacentral:rRNA from 1 species